ensembl:lncRNA
CUGGCAAGCACCCAAAAGUCUCCAGCAACCUCCAAGCAACCAAAAAACCCCUAGCAAACCCAAACACCACAGAAACCUUAAAGCAACAUACCCACCAAAAACACCCUAGCAACCUCCCAGUAACCCAAUAAUCCUAGCAACCUCCUAAUAACACUCUGGCACCCAAAACUCCCUUGCAACCCAAAACACCAUAGUAACAUUCUGGCAUGCAUUCACCCUAGAAUCACUUCAACAACAGGCAGCACUGCACAGGCUGAGUUUUGGUAUGUUGCUGGUUUCCUGUGGUUUCGCUGCAUGUCACUGGGGCUGUGUCGAGUGUUUGGCUUCAGUUCUGAUCAGGUAAACUGCUGUGUCAGUAGGUGUGGACAGCUCCGACCCCCCACGGGACUCACGCUGACUGAGAUUAGCGCUAAUCCAGCCACAUAAUCUGACUCAGGCGCAGGGAAUGGUGAAAGAGUAUAACCCCAAUUCACUUCCUCUGCCUGCUGAGGAUGUCCUGAGCUGUUUUUUUUUGUAUGUGUGUGUGUGUUCGCUCCCAGUUUCACUGAACUACAGCAGCAGUCAUGUGCACCACCAUCAUGGUCCUGAGCACCAUUGCUCUCCUGCUGCGACAGAUGUUCAUCAACCGUGUCAAGCCACAGCCAGAUGUGAAUGGGACAAAGGAAAAGCCGCAUGAGAACGAUGCAACACCUUCAGAAAAAUAAUGAUAAGAGACAUCAUUCAUCCAGCUGAGACUGUGAGCACAGAAAGAAACUCAGUACAGCCAGGGAGGAUCUUCUCAGGGACACUUUCACAAAGUAAACGUUCAUCCUGAAAUAUUUAAGAGCAUUGUCAGAUUGAAUACAAGGCAACAAGCAUGCAGCGCACACAAAAGAGAGAAUUCAAAGAGAGGAAAAGGGUUUUGUGCGACUCCACUGGACGACUGCAUUUCCAGCACAGCAAGGAUGGUUUGAACUGGACACAGGAGGAAUAAUAACAUCUGUGGAAAUGUGCUUUCAGGACUGGAUGCCAUGAACUUGCCUGCUCCAUUUUAGAGCUAUAAGUGCUGUCCAUGGCUGAACAUGGAUGCAGCGCCCUGUAAAUCAUUCAUACACAACAACCGGCCAUCAGCUGCUUGCAGGACUGGACCAACAGAGACCUUCAUCAUCACCAACACCAUCUUCAUCCAGAUAUGUUAUUAACUGACACGAGUGAAGGAAAGAGUAUGUCACUGAAAGAGUUUUAAAUGAGUAAUAGAGGCUCGUCUGAUGAGCUCCUCGCUGGAGGAGGCAGUUUAGUGCAUGAAACAUUAAUGCCUUCACAUGUCAGCUCUUUCUGUGGAUGUGAGUGUGUGUUUACCUCGCUUCAGUGAUCACACACACACACACGUACACACACACCUGCUCCACAGCAGUCCGUUCUUCAGCUCAGUGCACUAGUUUCCUGGAAUGGUCAAUCCAAAUUAAUUGUUUCUUAUAGUCCAUUUAAUUAAUUUCAUUAAUGAGACCUCUUUAAUAUCUCAAUAGUUUCUCUUAGUAAUGACAUUAAAUGAAGAUCAAUCUUCAUUUAAUCAAACUUAACUUCUCCAUAUUUUCUCCUUAUUUUUCUCCUGGGGCCCUCAGUAAUCCACUAAAGGCCAUCUUCACCACAUAAAAAAUGCUUUGGUAAAUAAUAAUUAUAACAAGUCAUAAUUAUGAGAUAAAAUGUAAACAUUAUGAAAUAUGAAACCAUAAUUAUAUCAGUUGUGAGCUAAAAACUGAUGGUUAAAAUUAAGAGAUAUUAAGCCAUAGUAAUGAGACCAGAAGUUAUAAUUAUCACAGCCAAAAUUAUGAGAUAAAACUUGAAAUGACAGUCAAAAAUAUGAGAUGUCACAAUUAUGAGACAAAAAGUCAUAAUUAUGAGACAUAAAGCCAAAAUUGUCAUUCAAAAUUGAUAUAAAAACUUCAAACUAUGACAAUCAAACUUAUGAGAUAAAAUUAUGAGUCACAAUUAAUAGAUAACAAAUGAAACUAUUAGAUAAGUCACAAUUAUGAGACAAAGGUCAUAAUUAUGAGACAGAAAGCCAAAAUUAUGUCAUUCAAAAUUUAGAUAAAAACUUCAAACUAUGACUCAAAAUUAUGAGAUAAAAACCUGAAAUUUUGAGUCACAAUUAAUAGAUAACUAAAACUGAGAUAAGUCACAAUUAUGAGACAAAAAGUCAUAAUUAUGAGACAAGAAGGCAAAAUUAUGUCAGUCAAAACUGAAAUAAAAAACUUGAAACUAUGACUGUCA